UACGGAGGGGGCUAGCGUUGUUCGGAAUUACUGGGCGUAAAGCGCACGUAGGCGGAUUGGAAAGUUGGGGGUGAAAUCCCGGGGCUCAACCCCGGAACUGCCUUCAAAACUCCCAGUCUGGAGGUCGAGAGAGGUGAGUGGAAUUCCGAGUGUAGAGGUGAAAUUCGUAGAUAUUCGGAGGAACACCAGUGGCGAAGGCGGCUCACUGGCUCGAUACUGACGCUGAGGUGCGAAAGCGUGGGGAGCAAAC
rnacentral:rRNA from 1 species